UCCUGUCUUGCCUCCUCGGUGUUUCUUCCCUGCAGUCUUCUUCCCCAUGGUCGGGGCUCUAGGGUUCGGUGGAGCGGAAGGUGAGGGGGGAGGGGUAGUCUUGGCCGAUAGUCAGGUGGGGUGGUGACCUGCGGUGGAUGCGGAAGAGGGAGUCUUGCUCGGCGGUGGAGGAGGUGAAGCGGUGGCCGGCGGUGGAGGAGGUGACGACGUGUUCUAGGGUUCGGUGGAGGCGGAUGGUGGGGAUGAGGGGGGUCUUGGCCGGCUGUGGGGGUGGGGUCGUGACAGGCUGUGGAUGUGGAAGAGGGAGGACACUCGUGCUUGGCGGUGGAAGAGGUGAAGCGGUGGCCGGCGGUGGAGGAGGUGAAGCAGUGGCCGGCGGCGGUGGAGGCGGAAGGGGAAUGGGGAGGGGAUUUGGCGAACUGCGGGGUAGGGGUGGGCGUGUGUGCGAGCAAAACUCUUAACAGUAUUUCUUGCGUGUAAAAUUAC
rnacentral:lncRNA from 1 species